GCCGUGGUGGCUCAGUGGAUAGAGCAUCGUCCCACGGACCAAGAGGUCCCGGGUUCGAUUCCCAGCCAAGGCA
rnacentral:tRNA from 1 species